GUCAACAUCUAAUCCAAUAAAUCUUCAAGAAACAAUGGAAAAUGUGGAAACAUUUGAAGAACUUGAAUUUGGUAAUAUACUUUUUCUUUUCAAAUACAUUGUCAAAUUCUUUUUUUCUUUAGUAACAUGCAUUUUUCUAACUAUUUUUUUUCUCCAAAAUUUUCAAAGUUAUAUCAAUCAACUAUUGGAGGGUAGCAUCUAUAUUGUCUAAUUAAUGUUGAUGAAAUGAAUGUUUUGGACAAAAUCAUAGAACUGGGUUUAAUUUGUAAUAGUUAAUUAAUAUUUUGUAAUUUGUUUAUUUUUAUUAUUUUUGAUAAAAUGCCUAUUUUGGAUAAAAUUAUAGAACUAUAUUAUGGAGUUGCAAAGGAAAUGUAAUUUUGAGAC
rnacentral:misc_RNA from 1 species